rnacentral:rRNA from 1 species
UUAUUGGAGAGUUUGAUCCUGGCUCAGGACGAACGCUGGCGGCAUGCCUAAUACAUGCAAGUCGAGCGGAGUUGAUGGAAAGCUUGCUUUCCUGAGACUUAGCGGCGGACGGGUGAGUAACACGUAGGCAACCUGCCCUCAAGCUUGGGACAACUACCGGAAACGGUAGCUAAUACCGAAUAUUUGUUUUCU